rnacentral:rRNA from 1 species
CCUCCAGACUCCUACGGGAGGCAGCAGUGAGGAAUAUUGGUCAAUGGCCGAGAGGCUGAACCAGCCAAGUCGCGUGAGGGAUGACGGCCCUACGGGUUGUAAACCUCUUUUGCCGGGGAGCAGUGGUCCGGACGCGUCCGGACCGGGAGAGUACCCGGAGAAAAAGCAUCGGCUAACUCCGUGCCAGCAGCCGCGGUAAUACGGAGGAUGCGAGCGUUAUCCGGAUUUAUUGGGUUUAAAGGGUGCGCAGGCGGAAGAUCAAGUCAGCGGUAAAAUUGAGGGGCUCAACCUCUUCGAGCCGUUGAAACUGGUUUUCUUGAGUGAGUGAGAAGUAUGCGGAAUGCGUGGUGUAGCGGUGAAAUGCAUAGAUAUCACGCAGAACUCCGAUUGCGAAGGCAGCAUACCGGCGCUCAACUGACGCUCAUGCACGAAAGUGUGGGUAUCGAACAGGAUUAGAUACCCGUGUAC